rnacentral:rRNA from 1 species
UACAGAGGGUGCAAGCGUUGUUCGGAAUUAUUGGGCGUAAAGGGUGCGUAGGCGGUGCGGUAAGUCUCUUGUGAAAUCUCCGGGCUCAACCCGGAGCCUGCAAGGGAAACUGCCGUGCUUGAGUGUGGGAGAGGUGAGUGGAAUUCCCGGUGUAGCGGUGAAAUGCGUAGAUAUCGGGGGAACACCUGUGGCGAAAGCGGCUCACUGGACCACAACUGACGCUGAUGCACGAAAGCUAGGGGAGCAAACAGG